rnacentral:rRNA from 1 species
UAGAUGCGAGAGUAGAGCAUAUCAAUAAGCGGAGGAAAAGAAACUAACAAGGAUUCCCUUAGUAACGGCGAGUGAAGCGGGAAGAGCUCAAAUUUGAAAUCUUCAAGGUUCUACCUUGACGAAUUGUAGUUUAAAGAAGUGUUUUCUGUUAGAUGAGUAGCAAAAGUUCCUUGGAAUGGGACAUCAUAGAGGGUGAGAAUCCCGUAUUUGGUUAUUCAUUCUAGCUUUGUGAUACACUUUCAAAGAGUCGGAUUGUUUGGGAAUGCAGUCCAAAAUGGGUGGUAAAUUUCAUCUAAAGCUAAAUAUUGGCGAGAGACCGAUAGCGAACAAGUACCGUGAGGGAAAGAUGAAAAGAACUUUGAAAAGAGAGUUAAACAGUACGUGAAAUUGUCAAAAGGGAAGCGUUUGACACCAGUGUUGUUUUUCCGAAAAUCAAUUACGAAUGGCUUGAUUUUGUGUUGUAUUGACCUUAUCAGCUUUCUUCACUUUUUUCGAGUCUUUCUUAAUGCACUUUUCGGUUAACAAGUCAACAUCAAUUUCUUUUGUUGUAAAAGAGUAUUCGGAAGGUGGCUUUCUUUUCGGAGAAAGUGUUUAUAGCCCUAUACUUCUACAAUCGGAGAGAUUGAGGUCUGCAGCGUAGAUCCUUCGGGGUUAGAUACAUUUGUGCUAAGUUGUAGCUUUUCAUAGACAACUUGUUGACUAUGUUUAGUCAUGCGGCUUACUCGCUUAUGCUAUUUUACCUACGCUUAGGAUGUUGAGCGCAUGUCUCUCUCU